rnacentral:rRNA from 1 species
UACGUAGGGCGCAAGCGUUAUCCGGAAUUAUUGGGCGUAAAGAGCUCGUAGGCGGUUUGUCGCGUCGGCCGUGAAAUCUCCACGCUUAACGUGGAGCGUGCGGUCGAUACGGGCAGACUUGAGUUCGGUAGGGGAGACUGGAAUUCCUGGUGUAGCGGUGAAAUGCGCAGAUAUCAGGAGGAACACCGGUGGCGAAGGCGGGUCUCUGGGCCGAUACUGACGUGAGGAGCGAAAGCGUGGGGAGCGAACAGG